CUAAUUGAUCACGGAUUUUGCUUAUUUAUUACUUUAAACAACAAACGGCUUUGAGUUUCACGCUUUUCCUUUUUCUUCUUUUUUUUUUUGGGUUCCUGCAGGGUGUUGCAGCAGAAGCAUCACAGAGAAGGUGAGCAGACGCAGACGAACAAAAGACGACUGGAAAAGGAUGAUGGAUCUGGGAUAUGUACAACCCCCACCCCCGGUGAAACGUGUGACCUGACGUGGGCUUUAGAUAUACCUAAUUUGAAAGGCUUCUGCAGAGGACAGGAUCGGAAGGCUAUGUGGGCUGCUGCCUCCUGAUGGCUCCAUCAGUUAAAUGCCAGAGAUUUACUCCGGAUAGGCGAUUACCCCGGUGUCUCCAAAGCCAUCAAAGUCUCAGGGGCUUCGAGGUGGAGAAACGCGAGAGGAGGCGAACCGGCAGACGGCGGAGCACCAGCACCGCAGAGGGAAGUGACCCGCCUGCUCCAGGUGACACACAGGAAGUACUCCAACUACUUUCUCUGAUUCAAAACACUUAUAUAUUUGUGUUGAUUUUGGAAGAAAAACUCCAAGUUUUUGUAAUAAAAACCCCUCACAGUCCUGGACAUUUUACAGUUUUUAGUCAGGUGUGUGCGUACAGUAUUGUCUGUUUUGAGUUCCUGCAGGUCAAAGUUCUACCCGGUAACAGGAGACGGCAGAUAAACUGUCCUUUGGGGUGA
rnacentral:lncRNA from 1 species